AGGGCACCACCAGGAGUGGAGCCUGCGGCUUAAUUUGACUCAACACGGGGAAACUUACCCGGCCUGGACACUGGAAGGAUUGACAGAUUGAGAGCUCUUUCUUGAUUCAGUGGGUGGUGGUGCAUGGCCGUUCUUAGUUGGUGGAGCGAUUUGUCUGGUUAAUUCCGAUAACGAACGAGACUCUAGCCUAUUAAAUAGGCUCUCGGCUUUUAAACGCCGGGAGGACUUCUUAGAGGGACAGGUGGCGGUUCAGCCGCACGAAAGAGAGCAAUAACAGGUCUGUGAUGCCCUUUGUUGUCCGGGGCCGCACGCGCGCUACACUGAAGAGAUCAGCGUGCUUUACGUUCCUGCUCCGACCGGAGUGGGGAACCCAGUGAACCUUCUUCGUGAUUGGGAUAGAAGAUUGUAAUUAUUCUUCUUGAACGAGGAAUUCCCAGUAAAUGCGAGUCAUAAGCUCGCGUUGAUUACGUCCCUGCCCUUUGUACACACCGCCCGUCGCUACUACCGAUUGAACGAUUC
rnacentral:rRNA from 1 species